GAUGAACGCUGGCGGCGUGCCUAAUGCAUGCAAGUCGAGCGACGCAUACGGAAGGGGUAACCCCAUCUGUAUGACGGAGCGGCGAACGGGUGAGUAACACGUGAGCAACCUGCCCCACAGAUCGGGAUAGCCCAGGGAAACCUGGAUUAAUACCGGAUACCCUCGGAGAUCGCAUGGUCCGUCGAGGAAAUGCCUUUGUGCUGUGGGAUGGGCUCGCGGCUUAUCAGCUAGUUGGUGGGGUAACGGCCUACCAAGGGCGUCGACGAGUAGCUGGUCUGAGAGGACGAUCAGCCACACUGGGACUGAGACACGGCCCAGACUCCUACGGGAGGCAGCAGCAGGGAAUUUUGCGCAAUGGACGAAAGUCUGACGCAGCAACGCCGCGU
rnacentral:rRNA from 1 species